rnacentral:misc_RNA from 1 species
GAUGAAGAACGCAGCGAAAAGCGAUAAGUAAUGUGAAUUACAGAAUUCAGUGAAUCAUCGAAUCUUUGAACGCACAUUGCGCCCGCCAGUAUUCUGGCGGGCAUGCCUGUUCGAGCGUCAUUACUACCCUCAGGCCCCCGGGCCUGGCGUUGGGGAUCGGCGGAAGCCCCCUGCGGGCACAACGCCGUCCCCCAAAUACAGUGGCGGUCCCGCCGCAGCUUCCAUUGCGUAGUAGCUAACACCUCGCAACUGGAGAGCGGCGCGGCCACGCCGUAAAACACCCAACUUCUGAAUGUUGACCUCGAAUCAGGUAGGAAUACCCGCUGAACUUAAGCAUAUCAAUAAGCGGAGGA